rnacentral:lncRNA from 1 species
GGGGGGGGGGGGGUCCCAAUAACAGGAAAACAGCAAAUUGAUUUGGCUUAUAACAGAUAACAAGGAAUUAAAAUGGACAAAAACAGAUAACAGUAAAUUAAAUAUAAAAAUAAGUCGGGUCCUUGACAAAUCCAGUAUUUCCUAUUACGGGUAUAAUCCUUUGUAAUGAAUUCCAUUUUCUAUAAACAUGGUUUUUAGAAUUAUGUAUCUAGAUAUGUAUUUGGUAUAUUCUUGUCCAUCCGUCGUCAACAUGUCGGACAUUAACUCAAACACUCUUUAACCAAUUUACAUAAAACUUUGGGAAAUUGUUUAUAUCUAUUGACGUGAGCUCACUAUCGUGUUUUAUAAAUGUUAGAUUUUAAGUUUCUGGGUAAUUGGGUUUUAUUUAAUAAAAAUGGUGGUUUUUUUUCUUCAGUUUUCUGAUAAUAUCUCAAAAAUCCUUUCACAAAUUUGCAAGGAAUUUUGGUGAAUUGUUUAUAUCUAUUUACAUGAGCUCCCUUUCAAUUUUUAUAAAUUUUAGAUUUUACGUUUCCGAGUUAAGGGGUUUUAUUAAUUAAAAGGGGGGAUUUUCUAGUUUUUGGACAUUAGCAGAAAAACGAUUUCAGCAGUUCUCAUGAAACUUUGCUGGAUUGUUUAUAUCUAUUGUUGUAAGCGCCCUUUCGAUUUUUAUUAAUUUCCGAUUUUAUGUUAUUCAAUUGAGGGGAUUAUUCAUUAAAAAAGAUGGUAUUUUCCAGUUUUCGGACAAUAACUCAAAAAUGUUUUCAGCAGUUCUCAUGAAACUUUGAUGUAUUGUUUAUAUACAUGAUAUAUAUUAACUGAUUUUUAUAACUAUCUGAUAUGACAUUGAGAAGUUAUCGAAUAUUUCAAAAAGGUAACCACCCAAGGGUGACUGGGGUAUAGAAAUAUGGUCACUUGGUCUUCUUCCGACUGGCAGUAAAACGCUUGCCGAAGUGGGGCGUCCGUUUGGCUGUGCGGGAUGUAUCAAGUUCGCAGUCACGUCCGGUCAGAUUCCGAUGUCUCGUGUAAGGAGAGUGCCACGCUCUUUGCACGUUAAGAACCCUUGCAACAACUCUUUGAGGGGUCCGUAGGUGGCCUGUUGCAAGGCAUAAUUUCUGUCCCUAUCCAAUAUACCCUGAUUUUCCAGUGGUAGUCCAAAUUUCCCCGACCAUCAUCCCAGAUGGCCUCUAUUAUUUCAAGACCUACCUAUAGUAUUUAUUGUGAACUUGUUCUCGUCCUGAAUAUGCAUGAAAUAUUUGCCACUGGACGUUAAGCAACCAACAAUCAAUCAAUAAAAAAG